rnacentral:lncRNA from 10 species
CUGUGCUCGUGCUGGAGGCACUGGGAGCAUCUGUUGCAGGCCUUUCUCUGGGUGCCUGGUGUCACUGGUCAUCCUUGGCACUUCUUUGCUGGCCAAGGAUGCAUCACUGUGACCCUCGUCUUUACAGGGCUUCACGCUGUGUCUGUCCACGCGCGGAUGUCGUCUUGUAAGGACACCAGCCACACCGAUGAGAGGCCAUCUUCCUCCACUUUGACCUCAUCUUAACUAAUUACAUCUGCAACUGUCCUAUUUCCAAAUAAGGUCACGUUCUAGGGUAGCGGAGAGUAGGACUUCAACACAGCUUUUUUUGAGGGAAGACGCAAUUCAACCCACAGCUCCCCCAAAUGCGUUAUUCACUCUGUUCUGUGCCCUGUGGCAUGACCCUGUGGCCUGCCCUCUUUGCUGUGCUCUGGUGCUUUAGCCUCGGUUAGAAUUCCUGCAGGAGUUUCCCAGGAGACCAGAAGGUGAACAAGCUCAAACUUCGUUGUAGUCUUUUCUGCAACUACCUUUGCUGAGAAGACGUGCUCUCCUCCCUCUCUGCCACAUGCCUGCUCACAGUACAGUUACUGGUUGGCUUGCUCCUUUUCGGUGAGACCCCAUUCCCCCUAAGGGCUUCCACUGUGCUCUUGAACAUGUGCUCUCUGGGAUCUCCCACAGGUUUAACCAGUGUCUGAUGUAGUCGGUUCUCAGGAGAAGUUUGAUAAAUGCAUGAACCUGCUUUGCCCUGACAAGUAGGACCUUCCAGCCUCACCCCAGAUCCACUGGUCCUCAGCCUGAUCAUGGACAUUGGAUGGCGUCCCCAUCUGCCUCCUGCCAGUGGAGCGGAGACACUCCUCUUGGACCCUGCUUCCUGCGCUGGCUGGAGAAGGAGGACCAACAGCCCUGGCACCAAGGGCACCUUUUCUGAGACUGGCUUUCCUGACACAAGGGGCACCGCUCUGCUUUUGUGUCUGCACCCUUCGGAGAUGGCCUCUGACCAUCCCUGGGCUUCUGGGGUGGUGCCUGGCCAGGCUUAGCACAGUGUCCCGUGUAAAGCCCAGACCCGCAGCAGUCCCCUUCCUGGCAAGAGUGAGGUCUGCUCUUUUGACCUUGACUGCACCUCCCUAAACAUAUCCUAGAGUCCCUCUCAGGGAGCACUUGGGGCUCCGUCUUCACUUAUUCAUGUCUUUUUAGGCGCCGCAGCACGCACCCCACAACACGGUCAGCACAACCUUGUCCCUUGGCCCUGUGGGACUCGUGGCCUGGACCCAUUGUCUGCUCACUUUCUUGGAAUGUGGCCUCAGGCCCUGGCUUCCUGGGCCCUUUUCUAAAGAGGACCCUUCCUUCGUCCCUCUAAGAUCCUCCCCUCACACUCCAUGGCUUUGGGCUGUCUUAUCAGCUGGGGCUGCCAUAACAAAGAACCACAGACCAAGGGUUAAACAACAGGCAUUCAUUUUCUCACGGUUCUGGAGGCUGGAAGUGCAUGACCAAGGUGCUAGCAAAUGUGG